rnacentral:rRNA from 1 species
UACGGAGGGUGCGCGCGUUGUCCGGAAUCACUGGGCGUAAAGGGCGCGUAGGCGGUGCGGUGCGGUUUCGGUGAAAUCCCUCGGCCCAACCGAGGAACAGCCGAGGCUACAGCCGUGCUAGACGGCAUCAGGGGACAGUGGAACUCCCGGUGGAGCGGUGAAAUGCGUAGAUAUCGGGAGGAACGCCGGUGGCGAAAGCGACUGUCUGGGGUGCCUGUGACGCUGAGGCGCGAAAGCCAGGGGAUCAAACGGG